GUAGGUUUUCAUGACAUUUUACAAGAAACGUCUACUUUAUAUCACUUUCCUUGACAUUUAAUAAAAAACGUCAACUCUAUAUCAAUUUUCCCUGACAUUUUAUAAAGAACGUCAAUUAAAACCUAAUAUACCUGACGCUUUCUAAAAACUCCACAGGAAAAGAGAAAACGAGAAAAAACAAAAGCUGACACUUUGUAAACAAGCUAGUCUCAGACAGGAAAAAAAACAAAGCAAAAAUUCCUCCGGUAUCAGAUCCAAAAUUCAGUUUUAGCUGACACUCUUGUUGGCACUUUGGAUGAUAAUUUGGUUUUAGAUAACAAGGAUGAUGAAGUGUGAGUCAGCAGAACAAGUGUGACCUUAUUGUCAAUCUUAAAACUUCAGUAAACCAAAAAUUGUUGUGGUGGGAUAGUGUAAAUUUUAAAUCCAAAGCUUUUGACUUUUAUGAUGGUUAGGGAUACCAGUUUUCGUAGAGAAGGUGCUGACAUUCAUGUAGAUGUUGGUUUGUGUAUCACUCAGGUAUUGGUUAAAUAUUUUAGUUUUUUAAAGUUCUUUAUAUGCUUUAAUACGAGAAACUCUUGAAGAUUCAUAUGAGAUGGAGAAAUAGAAUAAUCUCUUUAACUUUGGCAAUAUCUAAUUGUUUUUAGGUCACCAACAAACUCAAGUGUAAGAACUCAAAUGGGUUUCAUUGGUCUUGUGUAUUUGGAUCGUUUUUCUGAUUGGAUAUUUUGGGCUCUGUUU